CCGCAUACCCCCACCCCCCACCCCCACCCGCACCAACCUCGCGGAAGGCCGACGACCAAACCCUAGGCGAGCGGCAGCCUCCUCCGAUCCCCUCUCCCCGAUCUCUAUAAAACACCGCGGAUUUCGAAUUCUGUCUUCCCCGCGGGAAUCACACCGGCGCCUCCUCCCUCGGCGCGCCCGGACCGGGCUCCUCCCGCGGGGCCGGGGCUGGUACCAGGGGCGGCGGCGGGGGGCGGUGGAUGGCGGAGGCGGCUCUGGAGGGGAGCGAGCCGGUGGAUCUGACCAAGCACCCCUCCGGCAUCAUCCCCACGCUCCAGAAUAUUGUGUCGACGGUCAACCUGGACUGUAAAUUGGACCUGAAAGCAAUAGCUCUCCAGGCACGAAAUGCAGAGUAUAACCCCAAGCGUUUUGCUGCAGUUAUCAUGCGGAUAAGAGAACCAAAAACUACCGCAUUGAUAUUUGCUUCAGGAAAAAUGGUUUGCACUGGAGCAAAAAGUGAACAGCAAUCUAAACUUGCAGCUAGAAAGUAUGCUCGUAUAAUCCAGAAGCUUGGCUUUCCUGCAAAAUUCAAGGACUUCAAGAUCCAGAAUAUUGUUGCCUCUUGUGAUGUCAAAUUCCCUAUCAGGCUUGAGGGCCUCGCAUAUUCCCAUGGCGCUUUCUCAAGUUAUGAGCCAGAGCUAUUUCCUGGUCUGAUUUACCGGAUGAGGCAGCCAAAGAUUGUCCUCCUAAUUUUUGUUUCUGGCAAGAUUGUUCUGACUGGAGCAAAGGUGAGAGAAGAGACAUACACUGCCUUCGAGAACAUAUAUCCUGUCCUGACGGAGUUCAGAAAAGUGCAGCAAUGAUGGUAUAAUUCCUGAGAGUGCAUGUUUAAUGGACAUUGCUAUGUUGGGAAUAGGAUAGGAAAUGCCAUGUUCCAUUGACAAGUUGGGCCACUAAAGGUGACUUUUUAAGUACGCAGAAUUGGAGAUAUUGUUGCUUGCUGCCAGCUCCAACCUCACAAAGUCUAGGCAUAGCCUGUCUUCCGGUGGAACCUAUAUAUAUAUUACUGUCCAUCAGAUUUAAAGUACCUGUUGUCGUAAUCGACUAGGGUCUUCUUUUUGUGAUGGAUCAUGGUUGAUCAUCGCAGGGCCUAUUCUGUCAUCGUUCCUCACUCGAAACACUCUUGUGGAAGUUGAGUAAAACCCAAGCAAAUUUUGCUCCUGGAUUCUAGAGCCUUUUUCUCCUGAUGAUGAAAAGGCCAGCUAAUGUAUAUGUACUUGUAGACGCUUUUGCGCCCUGUUAAAAAGAGGGCUUCAUGUCGAGCCAGAUAGCAAGAGGAAGUUUGUGUUAUUUCUA